CUGAUGACAACGGACACAAUUUCCAGCGGUCCAAUCUGGCCUGUGCUCACAAUGAAAGUGCUCCUCUCUAGGUCCUCAUCCAGCAACAGAUGACCUAAAUGAAAAAAAAUGUACACAAAUCUCUCAAAAACCUGAAUACCUGUUCCUCCACAGCAUCCCCACUCCUUGCUGUGACCACACUGAGUGUGCAGUGCCAAUCCUGGGCAGCAGUCCAGACAGCAGUCCUCUAGCUUCCCACGGCUCUGGAGCUCCACACUGACCAGCCUGCCGGACACCACUGCCUCAAAACCCACCACAACCUCCUUCUCCCCCAGAGGAUACACAAACACACCUGAGCGGGUUCAGGGUCAGUAUUCACAUAUGUGAGAUGAGCCGUGAUGCCCAGAGAGCAGCCGUUUGCACAGGAAGUGAUGUCAGAUGUCUUCAGCAAAAGUGGGGCGCGUGUGGUGGUGCGAUUUUUCAAUCCUGGCAUUUUCCUUAAGAGAAUAUCAUCUGUGUAAGCUAAUUAUGCUUGUUAAGAGGAUGUUAUGGACGAGUUCCCUGAAGAAUAUUAAGCAUGAUAAUUAAUAAGCUUCAUUUAAUUAAAAUGUUGUCUUUGGUAGUCACGAGAGUACAUUUGCUAACUACACUCUAAGAAAAGUCAGGAUGAAUAGCACCCAAUAUACUGUGCAAAUAUAUCUAAAAAAAUCAGUAUCAAAAUUUGUAUUUACAAUUUUCCUGGAACAAUCUUUAGCAGAAGUUUUACAGCCAGAGUUAUUAUCGUAAACUAAACCAAAAAAAAAAAAACCUAAAUGUUAAAAAACAGAUUUUAU